rnacentral:lncRNA from 1 species
CGGCUGGCGGCCGAGGAGGCUUCCUCUGCAGCCCAGGAGCAGAUCCGCAGGUGGGAGUCGGAGGAGUAUGCGCAGUCUCUGGAGACCAGCAUUGCCAUGCCGCCCAGCCAUGAGCACGCCCGGCUGCUGGGGUCUGCCGAGAGCGCCUUCAGCAAGGCUCGAGGGCCCCGGGGGCUGCCGCGUGUCCUGCGCUCUCUCUUCUGCCCCCGGAGGCUGUUCUCCCUGCUGGCCACCCUCUACCUCCUCGGGAUCCACCUGCUGAUAUUCCUGCACGCCGUGGGACGCCUGUGAGAAGACCGAGGCACCGGAACUUGGCUGGACCGCGGACCCCGAUGCCUGGCGGCAGGGGUGGAGGGUUGACCCUGCUGGUCUGGA